GACGAACGCUGGCGGCGUGCUUAACACAUGCAAGUCGAACGGAAAGGCCCUGCUUUUGUGGGGUGCUCGAGUGGCGAACGGGUGAGUAACACGUGAGUAACCUGCCCUUGACUUUGGGAUAACUUCAGGAAACUGGGGCUAAUACCGGAUAGGAGCUCCUGCUGCAUGGUGGGGGUUGGAAAGUUUCGGCGGUUGGGGAUGGACUCGCGGCUUAUCAGCUUGUUGGUGGGGUAGUGGCUUACCAAGGCUUUGACGGGUAGCCGGCCUGAGAGGGUGACCGGCCACAUGGGGACUGAGAUACGGCCCAGACUCCUACGGGAGGCAGCAGUGGGGAAUAUUGCACAAUGGGCGGAAGCCUGAUGCAGCAACGCCGCGUGCGGGAGGACGGCCUCCGGGUGGUAAACCGCUUUCGCCUGUGACGAAGCGUGAGUGACGGUAAUGGGGAAAGAAGCACCGGCUAACUACGU
rnacentral:rRNA from 1 species